rnacentral:misc_RNA from 1 species
GAUGAAGAACGCAACGGAAUGCGAUAAGUAGCGAGAGCUGCCGUCGCGGUAAGAAAUUACCAUGCGGAUCGUCGAAUCUUUGAACGCACAUUGCGCUCCCCUUCACCGGGGAGCAUGCCUGUUCGAGCGUCCCAAACAUAAUCAUCCCGCGGGGCGACCCGCGGGGCUUUGAGCCCUCGGAUCUGACUUCCGUGGUUAGAAAUCCAGACAGCUCCCCGAUGCGGGAGGAAGCUUCGCUUCCCCCGAGGGCAUCCUGCUCCGGGUCCCAGGACACCGGCAGGGCCACGCGUCGGGGGCCUCGGCAGCUUCCGCCGCCUUCCUUCUGGACCUCGAAUCAAGCAAGAUCACCCGCUGAACGUAAGCAUAUCAAUAAGCGGAGGA